rnacentral:rRNA from 1 species
UAACACGUGAGUGACCUGCCUUUUAGACUGGAACAACUUACCGAAAGGUGAGCUAAUGCCGGAUGAGUUAUAUAAGUGCAUGUUUAUAUAGGAAAAGUUGGGGAGACCUGACGCUGAAAGAUGGACUCGCGUCCCAUUAGCUAGUUGGUAGGGUAAUGGCCUACCAAGGCGACGAUGGGUAGCCGGCCUGAGAGGGUGGCCGGCCACACUGGGACUGAGACACGGCCCAGACUCCUACGGAAGGCAGCAG